CGGAGCUUGAACCGGAGUUGCGUUGGUGUGAAAGGGGCAUUAGAGCGGUCAACUGGAUGCCGAGAAGAAGACUUCCACCGACGGUCGCUGAUCAGUUUAAAUAUUAACUGUUUCAGCAACAUUAAGGGGAAGGACAUUU